rnacentral:sRNA from 1 species
UACAUUUGGAAAGUCUUACUGACAUGCAGAAAUAGUACAGAAAAACAUACAAAUAGGAAUGUUAUUGGCUGGGCAUGGUGGCUCACAUCUGUAAUCCCAGCACUUUGGGAGGCCAAGGCGGGUGGAUCACAAGGUCAGGAGAUCGAGACCAUCGUGGCUAACAUGGUGAAACCCUGUGCCUACUAAAAAUUCAAAAAAUUAGCCGGGUGUACUGGCAUGUGCCUGUAAUCCCAGCUACUUGGGAGGCUGAGGCAGGAGAAUCACUUGAACCCGGGAGGCAGAGGUUGCAGUGAGCCAAGAUCACGCCACUGCACUCCAGCCUGGGUGACAGAGCGAGACUCCGUCUCAAAAAAAACAAAAGAAUGCUAUGCAUAGGUACGAUGUCGAAAUGUGCAAGAAAUACUUCAGAAAUAUUAAAAGUAGUUAUUCCUGGGUAGUUGUGAUUGUGACUCUGGGUGACUUUUUCCCUUUGUUUUAUUUUUCUGUAUUUUCCAAAUUUCCUAUAAUGGACAUAUAUUAUAUGGAAUUUUUUUAAUUAAAAUUAUCUUUUGACUAGAUAAUAUACAUGGAAAAUUCACAAAGUACACAUAUGCAAUAUACAAUACUUUUACUAUAAAAGAGUGAAAAUUUUUAAAUACUUGUUUUUCUUUUUAGAAAUGCACUCGGUGAUGGAAAGAGAGCCACUAUUCUGAAGAACACUUGGCCAAAGGGUCAUUAUCGUUAUUGUGAUGCUCUUUCUAUGCUGGGGGAAUAUGACUGGGCCCUGCAAGCAAACAUAAAAGCUCAAAAACUCUGUAAAAAUGACCCUGAGGGAAUCAAGGAUCUAAUUCAGCAGCAUGUAAAGUUACAAAAACAAAUAGAAGACCUACAAGGUCGAACAGCAAAUAAGGAUCCAAUUAAAGCCUUUUAUGAAAACAGGGCCUACACACCUAGGAGUUUAUCAGCACCUAUAUUUACUACUUCACUUAACUUUGUGGAGAAGGAAAGAGAUUUCAGAAAAAUUAAUCACGAAAUGGCCAACGGUGGUAAUCAGAAUCUAAAGGCGGCGGAUGAGGCGUUGAAGGUAGAUGAUUGUGACUGUCAUCCUGAAUUUUCACCACCAUCAAGUCAGCCUCCAAAACAUAAAGGAAAACAAAAAUCUCGAAACAAUGAAUCAGAGAAGUUCAGUUCUAGUUCACCAUUGACUUUACCAGCAGAUUUGAAGAACAUCUUGGAGAAACAGUUUUCUAAAUCUUCCAGAGCUGAACACCAGGAUUUUGCUAAUAUAAUGAAAAUGCUGAGAAGCUUGAUUCAAGAUGGCUAUAUGGCCUUAUUGGAGCAGCGUUGCCGCAGCGCCGCACAGGCCUUUACAGAGUUGCUGAACGGUUUAGAUCCUCAAAAAAUAAAGCAAUUGAACCUGGCCAUGAUUAACUAUGUUUUGGUCGUCUAUGGACUUGCCAUUUCUCUCCUUGGAAUAGGACAGCCUGAGGAAUUAUCUGAAGCCGAAAACCAGUUUAAGAGGAUUAUUGAACACUACCCCAGUGAGGGCCUUGAUUGCUUGGCCUACUGUGGAAUUGGAAAAGUAUAUUUGAAAAAAAACAGAUUUCUAGAAGCUCUCAAUCACUUUGAGAAAGCAAGAACCUUGAUUUAUCGUCUUCCUGGAGUGUUAACUUGGCCCACGAGUAAUGUGAUUAUUGAAGAGUCUCAGCCACAAAAAAUAAAGAUGCUGUUAGAGAAAUUUGUUGAAGAAUGCAAGUUCCCUCCAGUGCCAGAUGCCAUUUGUUGCUAUCAGAAGUGCCAUGGAUAUUCUAAGAUCCAGAUAUACAUAACUGAUCCAGACUUUAAGGGUUUUAUACGCAUCAGCUGUUGCCAGUACUGUAAAAUAGAAUUUCACAUGAAUUGCUGGAAGAAGUUAAAAACUACAACCUUUAAUGAUAAAAUUGACAAGGAUUUUCUACAAGGAAUAUGUCUUACCCCUGACUGUGAAGGUGUCAUUUCUAAGAUUAUCAUCUUCAGCAGUGGUGGUCAAGUUAAAUGUGAAUUUGAACACAAGGUCAUAAAAGAAAAGGUUCCUCCAAGACCUAUUCUGAAACAGAAAUGUUCUAGCCUAGAGAAACUAAGACUGAAAGAAGACAAAAAAUUGAAGAGAAAGAUCCAAAAAAAAGAAGCAAAAAAGGUGGCACAAGAAAGAAUGGAGGAGGACUUAAGAGAAAGUAAUCGACCCAAAAAUGAAGAGCAGAAAGAAACUGUAGACAAUGUUCAGUGUUUUCAGUUCCUUGAUGACAGAAUUCUACAGUGUAUAAAGCAGUAUGCUGACAAGAUUAAAUCCGGCAUACAGAAUACAGCCACGCUUCUCAAAGAAUUGCUUUCUUGGAAAGUUUUGAGCACAGAAGACUAUACAACCUGUUUUUCUAGCAGAAAUUUUCUAAGUGAAGCAGUGGACUAUGUUAUUCGUCACUUGAUUCAAGAAAAUAACAGAGUAAAGACAAGAAUAUUUCUGCAUGUUUUGAGUGAGCUUAAAGAAGUGGAGCCCAAAUUAGCCGCCUGGAUCCAAAAACUUAAUAGCUUUGGCUUAGAUGCCACAGGAACUUUCUUUUCUCGUUAUGGAGCAUCUCUUAAACUGCUUGAUUUUAGUAUCAUGACUUUCCUCUGGAAUGAGAAAUAUGGUCACAAACUAGACUCUAUAGAAGGAAAGCAACUUGAUUAUUUCUCUGAGCCAGCAUCAUUGAAGGAAGCCCGUUGUUUAAUAUGGCUACUAGAAGAACACAGAGACAAGUUCCCAGCAUUGCAUAGUGCUUUAGAUGAAUUCUUUGAUAUAAUGGACAGCCGCUGUACGGUGUUAAGGAAACAAGAUAGUGGUGAAGCACCGUUUAGUUCAACCAAGGUGAAAAACAAAAGCAAGAAAAAGAAGCCAAAGGAUUCAAAGCCUAUGUUAGUUGGGUCUGGAACAACUUCAGUAACUCCAAAUAAUGAGAUCAUCACUUCAAGUGAAGACCAUAGCAAUCGAAAUUCAGAUUCUGCAGGCCCAUUUGCAGUGCCUGACCAUCUUCGGCAAGAUGUAGAAGAAUUUGAAGCUCUCUAUGACCAACACAGUAACGAAUAUGUUGUCCGCAAUAAGAAGCUAUGGGACAUGAACCCAAAACAAAAAUGUUCAACUCUGUAUGAUUACUUCUCUCAGUUUUUGGAGGAACAUGGUCCCUUGGACAUGAGUAACAAGAUGUUCUCUGCAGAAUAUGAGUUUUUCCCAGAAGAAACUCGACAGAUACUAGAAAAAGCAGGAGGUUUAAAACCUUUUCUCUUGGGAUGCCCUCGUUUUGUUGUGAUUGACAACUGUAUUGCACUGAAGAAGGUUGCAUCACGGCUCAAGAAAAAAAGGAAGAAGAAAAACAUUAAAACAAAAGUAGAAGAAAUUUCAAAAGCAGGGGAGUAUGUACGAGUUAAACUACAACUGAAUCCAGCUGCUAGGGAAUUUAAACCAGAUGUAAAGUCUAAACCAGUGUCAGAUUCAUCUUCAGCACCAGCUUCUGAAGAUGUGAAACCCAAACCUGUGUCUGCAAAUUCUCCCAAGCCAGCUUGUGAAGAUGUGAAGUCCAAACCGGUAUCCGACAAUUCUUCUAGACAAGUUUCUGAGGAUGGGCAACCCAAAGGGGUCUCUUCUAAUUCUCCCAAACCAGGCUCUGAGGAUGCAAAUUACAGGCGAGUCUCCUGUAAUUCCCCCAAACCGGUUCUUGAGGAUGUGAAACCAACUUAUUGGGCUCAAUCCCAUUUGGUCACAGGAUACUGUACGUAUCUUCCUUUCCAGAGAUUUGAUAUCACCCAGACACCGCCAGCAUACAUAAACGUGUUACCAGGUUUGCCCCAGUACACCAGCAUAUAUACACCCUUGGCUAGCCUUUCUCCUGAAUAUCAGCUACCAAGAUCAGUACCAGUGGUGCCGUCUUUUGUAGCCAAUGACAGAGCAGAUAAAAAUGCUGCUGCCUAUUUUGAGGGUCAUCAUUUGAAUGCUGAGAAUGUUGCUGGUCACCAGAUUGCCUCUGAAACACAGAUCCUUGAGGGCUCUUUGGGAAUAUCUGUAAAGUCACACUGCAGCACAGGUGAUGCUCAUACAGUCCUGAGUGAGUCUAACAGAAAUGAUGAGCACUGUGGAAAUUCUAACAACAAAUGUGAAGUAAUUCCAGAAAGCACCAGUGCAGUAACAAACAUUCCACACGUGCAGAUGGUUGCCAUACAGGUAUCUUGGAACAUAAUACACCAAGAAGUCAAUACUGAGCCAUAUAAUCCUUUUGAGGAACGACAGGGGGAAAUUUCACGGAUUGAAAAGGAGCACCAAGUAUUACAAGACCAACUUCAACAAGUGUAUGAAAAUUAUGAGCAGAUAAAACUUAAGGGCUUAGAAGAGACCAGGGACCUGGAAGAGAAGUUGAAAAGGCACUUAGAAGAAAACAAGAUCUCAAAGACGGAAUUAGAUUGGUUCCUUCAAGAUUUGGAAAGAGAAAUUAAAAAAUGGCAACAGGAAAAAAAAGAAAUCCAAGAAAGACUAAAAUCACUGAAGAAGAAAAUUAAAAAGGUUUCAAAUGCCAGUGAAAUGUAUACCCAGAAAAAUGAUGGAAAGGAAAAGGAACAUGAAUUACAUCUGGAUCAGUCCCUUGAAAUCAGCAACACACUUACAAAUGAGAAAAUGAAAAUAGAAGAGUGUAUAAAGAAAGGGAAAGAGGAUUAUGAAGAGAGUCAUCAGAGAGCUGUGGCUGCAGAGGUAUCCGUACUUGAAAACUGGAAGGACAGUGAAGUGUAUAAGCUACAGAUCAUGGAGUCACAAGCAGAAGCCUAUCUGAAGAAGCUGGGGCUGAUUAGCCGUGAUCCUGCAGCAUAUCCUGACAUGGAGUCUGAUAUACGUUCAUGGGAAUUGUUUCUUUCUAAUGUUACAAAAGAAAUUGAGAAAGCAAAGUCUCAGUUUGAAGAACAAAUUAAGGCAAUUAAAAAUGGUUCUCGGCUCAGUGAACUUUCUAAAGUGCAGAUUUCUGAGCUUUCAUUUCCUGCCUGUAACACGGUUCAUCCCGAGUUACUCCCUGAGUCUUCAGGCCACGAUGACCAAGGGCUUGUGACUUCUGCAAGCGACGUGACUGGAAACCACGCAGCACUUCACAGGGAUCCUAGUGUGUUCUCUGCUGGUGAUUCCCCAGGGGAGGCUCCUUCUGCGCUGUUGCCAGGGCCACCCCCUGGUCAGCCUGAAGCCACUCAGCUGACAGGGCCAAAACGGGCUGGCCAGGCAGCUCUGUCAGAACGAAGCCCUGUGGCUGAUCGGAAGCAGCCUGUUCCUCCAGGACGUGCUGCGCGUUCAAGCCAGUCUCCAAAAAAGCCGUUCAAUAGUAUUAUUGAGCACCUGUCAGUGGUAUUCCCAUGUUACAACAGCACUGAGCUUGCUGGUUUUAUUAAAAAAGUGCGAAGCAAAAACAAGAACUCACUCUCAGGAUUGAGUAUUGAUGAAAUUGUCCAAAGAGUGACAGAACACAUUCUAGAUGAACAGAAAAAGAAAAAGCCAAACCCAGGAAAGGACAAGAGGACUUAUGAGCCCAGCUCUGCCGCCCCCGUGACCAGGUCCUCCCAGGGCUCACCCUCGGUGGUUGUUGCACCAUCACCCAAAACCAAGGGGCAGAAAGCAGAAGAUGUCCCUGUGAGGAUUGCACUGGGUGCAAGUUCCUGUGAAAUAUGCCACGAGGUGUUCAAAUCAAAAAACGUGCGUGUGCUCAAAUGUGGGCACAAGUAUCACAAAGGGUGCUUUAAGCAGUGGCUUAAAGGGCAGAGCGCUUGCCCGGCCUGCCAGGGUCGUGAUCUCCUGACAGAAGAGUCACCUUCUGGAAGAGGCUGGCCCAGUCAGAAUCGGGAGCUGCCUUCCUGCUCCUCUAGGUAGUCACACUUCACUAAAGUGUCAUCCACCAGUGUGUUGAAUCCGAAGAAUGACAAUUUUCUACCACUGGUGUAAAAAACAAACAUUUGAAGACCCUUGUGCAUUGUGUGUCACAAAGCUAAAUACAUGGAAAUCGUUAAUAUCGUUGAUAUUAAGUAAUUUCCCCACUCUGAGUGAAUACUUUGAUGAUUGCCAACAGUGGCUAAUAAAAUGACGGCUACCACACUCAUGGGUCACUGGGGCUGCGCAGGGCUCUUUGAGGUGGGUGGCUUCUUUUGGAAAGUACUAUGAACGUCUCGAAGCAGUAUUCUAGUGAUAAGAAUUCUUAACAUAGCCAAGCGCCCCACGUUUGUUCCCCACGUUUGUUCCCCUUUUGUGUUUGAAAAACCUGUUCUGGUAGCUCCACAAGAGAGAUGAUACUGACUUUUUAAAUUUUUUACAAGAGUCUGUAUUCCUGAUGUGCCUAUAUUUUUCCUCAAAGAUUCUGCAUUUUAAGGAUGGGCAUAAGCAAACUAUAUUUUAAUAAUGUAUAGUUAAUGUUAAAAUAUUGGCUGAUUUAGACCAAAAGAUUCAAAUCUCCUCUUUGUGAAAUCCCAUCUGCAUUUGAUUUUUUAUUAUUUUAUGUUCCCCCGAUAGAUUGUUUUAAGUGUUUGCUUUUCAUCUUUUAUAGAUGUAAUCUGAUUUUCAAAAAUCAUUAACACUUUUUAAUUAGUAUCGACUAAGACUUUUUCCCCCUGGAAUCGAGGCUGUGUGUCCAUCAUCCCAGCCCCCGGUUGGAGCCUGCUCUUUGAACUCCGCUGCCCUCCUCAGCAGCUUCUGUCCUCUUCUGUGAGUCAGUCAGCAAGUGCUUGGGAUCCGCAUCCAGCCGUGCUGAGCACACAACAGGCUGUGUGUGGAAAUGGCCACCACCAUUCUCCUUCCCCACCCCACCACAAAAAGAGAAGCUGUGUCUUUAGACAACCCUGAGGUAUCUGUGUUACAAUCGUUUUGUGUUUGAUAUUUGUGUAAAGUAUGCAUGCAGUCUUGUACUGUGGCCUAAGAACAAAACUGUAACUGCAUUAGAAACCAUGAAAAAAUUAGAUAUUGUUUUGUGACUUUUAGACAGUGGUAAAUAUAGAACCAUGAAUUCUGGUCACAUUCCAUUUCUCUCCAACAUGAAGGAUCAAAAAAUGUUUUUCAAUGUGUUCUUUGUUCCACUGGAAACUUAGAGUCAUGAGUUUAUGAGCUGAUUUGGUCACCUUCCUCUGCCUUUGUUCACUGUGAGUUCUGAUGUCUUAGUGACUUAGUUCUUAGAAGCUCACGCCUUAGUUUGAAACAGAUUCUCCACGGUGGUCCCCAAAACACUGUCUGCAUAUCCAUAAGAAUUGAGCGCUAUGGGUGUUAACGUGCAUGAGGAUCAGUUUGCAGCAGCAAGUACAAAAGGAGAAGAGGAACAUCCGUUGAAUGAGUGUGUUUUGUACAUAACUUCAGAUACUUGUGAACAUGCCUUAUAUUUGUCCAACAACUGUCAGAAUAAAGAACAUUCUAAAAGGAGAAGUUCA